AGAACAUCAGCUCAUCAGAAGCAGUGACAUCCAAGAGCCCAGAGGAGCCUGAAGAACAAUUGAGAGAAGCCUCCUUUGCCAACGCGUUGCCCACCAGGGCUGCACGUGGUACCCUUGCUCCAAGAUGCUUCCCAAAAACACCAGGACCAGGCAGUUAAAUGGCACUUGUACCAGCUCGGUGGACAUGGAGCUCUUCCUUCAUUAUUCCCUCAUCCCAUCACUCUUCAUCAUGUUGAUCUUGUCCUUCCUUCAAAGAUGAGAGCAUUGUAGACAGAGAGAUGAUACCUCUUACCUGCUGGGGAACUGCUUUGGCAUUAUCAUGCCUCUGGACUUCGUGGGCACUUUCAGUAACCGAUGGUCCUAUGGAAUCACCUUUGGGGCCACAGCUAAUAAGGUCAUGUUUUUGUUCUCAGAAGGCUACCAGCCCCUGCAGAUCCCGCAGUGGGCCCAAGGUCCCUGACUGGAAGUCCGCAUGAGGUACCACAGCUUCCC
rnacentral:lncRNA from 1 species